UACGUAGGGGGCAAGCGUUAUCCGGAAUUACUGGGUGUAAAGGGAGCGUAGACGGUAAUGUAAGUCUGGAGUGAAAGGCGGGGGCCCAACCCCCGGACUGCUCUGGAAACUAUGUUACUAGAGUGCAGGAGAGGUAAGCGGAAUUCCUAGUGUAGCGGUGAAAUGCGUAGAUAUUAGGAGGAACACCAGUGGCGAAGGCGGCUUACUGGACUGUAACUGACGUUGAGGCUCGAAAGCGUGGGGAGCAGACAGG
rnacentral:rRNA from 1 species